rnacentral:rRNA from 1 species
AGUCGAGCGGAAACGAGUUAUCUGAACCUUCGGGGAACGAUAACGGCGUCGAGCGGCGGACGGGUGAGUAAUGCCUAGGAAAUUGCCCUGAUGUGGGGGAUAACCAUUGGAAACGAUGGCUAAUACCGCAUGAUGCCUACGGGCCAAAGAGGGGGACCUUCGGGCCUCUCGCGUCAGGAUAUGCCUAGGUGGGAUUAGCUAGUUGGUGAGGUAAGGGCUCACCAAGGCGACGAUCCCUAGCUGGUCUGAGAGGAUGAUCAGCCACACUGGAACUGAGACACGGUCCAGACUCCUACGGGAGGCAGCAGUGGGGAAUAUUGCACAAUGGGCGCAAGCCUGAUGCAGCCAUGCCGCGUGUGUGAAGAAGGCCUUCGGGUUGUAAAGCACUUUCAGUCGUGAGGAAGGUAGUGUAGUUAAUAGCUGCAUUAUUUGACGUUAGCGACAGAAGAAGCACCGGCUAACUCCGUGCCAGCAGCCGCGGUAAUACGGAGGGUGCGAGCGUUAAUCGGAAUUACUGGGCGUAAAGCGCAUGCAGGUGGUUUGUUAAGUCAGAUGUGAAAGCCCGGGGCUCAACCUCGGAAUUGCAUUUGAAACUGGCAGACUAGAGUACUGUAGAGGGGGGUAGAAUUUCAGGUGUAGCGGUGAAAUGCGUAGAGAUCUGAAGGAAUACCGGUGGCGAAGGCGGCCCCCUGGACAGAUACUGACACUCAGAUGCGAAAGCGUGGGGAGCAAACAGGAUUAGAUACCCUGGUAGUCCACGCCGUAAACGAUGUCUACUUGGAGGUUGUGGCCUUGAGCCGUGGCUUUCGGAGCUAACGCGUUAAGUAGACCGCCUGGGGAGUACGGUCGCAAGAUUAAAACUCAAAUGAAUUGACGGGGGCCCGCACAAGCGGUGGAGCAUGUGGUUUAAUUCGAUGCAACGCGAAGAACCUUACCUACUCUUGACAUCCAGAGAACUUUCCAGAGAUGGAUUGGUGCCUUCGGGAACUCUGAGACAGGUGCUGCAUGGCUGUCGUCAGCUC